rnacentral:rRNA from 1 species
AUAUAAGUUACUAAGAGUGUAUGGUGGAUGACUUGGGACUAAAAGACGAAGAAGGACGUGAUAUUCUGCGAUAAGUUUCGGGGAGCUGAAAAUAGGCUUUGAUCCGGAAAUUUCCGAAUGGGGCAACCCUUUACCAGUAAUGUGGUAAAAUUUAAGUUUCAUUAGAUACUUAGAAGUGAACCUGGAGAACUGAAACAUCUUAGUACCCAGAGGAAAAGAAAAUAAAUAAUGAUUCCCUUAGUAGUGGCGAGCGAAACGGGAAAAGCCCAAACCAAUUGCAUAAAUUGGGGUUGUAGGAAAGUGCAUUAAGAGUUACAAAGGUUAUUGAUAGAAGAAGUAGUUGGAAAGCUACGCCAAAGACAGUGAUAGCCUCGUAUUCGAAAUCAAUAACUCUCUGCAUUUCAUCCUGAGUACCACGAGACACGUGAAAUCUUGUGGGAAUCAACGGGGACCACCCCGUAAGGCUAAAUACUAAUUAGUCACCGAUAGUGAACUAGUACCGUGAGGGAAAGUUGAAAAGAACCUCGGAAGAGGAGUGAAAUAGAACCUGAAACCAUAACACUUACAAGAAGUCAAAGGGCGUUAAAGCCUAAUGGCGUGCUUUUUGCAGAAUGAGCCGGCGAGUUAUUAUUAUUGGCAAGGUUAAGUCUCUCUGAGAUGGAGCCGUAGCGAAAGCGAGUUUUAAUAGAGCGUUAAGUCAAUGAUUAUAGACCCGAAACUAGGUGAGCUAACCAUGAGCAGGCUGAAGUGGAGAUAAAACUCCAUGGAGGGCCGAACCGGUGUUCGUUGAAAUGACCUCGGAUGACUUGUGGUUAGGGUUGAAAUUACAAACGAACCUAGAGAUAGCUGGUUCUCCCCGAAAUAGUUGUACGACUAGCGCAAGAGUUAAAAAUAGUGGGGGUAGAGCACUGAAUAGAGAAGGGCCCUUAACCGGGUACCACCUCUAAUUAAACUCCGAAUACCAUUAUUCCAUUAUCUUGUAGUCAGUCUAUGGGGGAUAAGCUCCAUGGACGCGAGGGAAACAGCCCAGAUUAUCAGCUAAGGUCCCUAAAUAGUAUUAAGUGUACAAGGAAGUUGUAAGACUAAAACAGCUAGGAGGUUGGCUUAGAAGCAGCCAUCCUUUAAAGAGUGCGUAACAGCUCACUAGUCUAGUCUUGCAGCGCCGAGAAUGUAAGGGGGCUCAAAUACUAUACCGAAGCUAUAAACUAGUUGGUAAUAAAAGAAUUAUUUAAUAAUUAAUCUUGUUAAUGUUUUUCUGUUGCCAACUAGUGGUAGGGGAGCGUAGUAAAUACGCUGAAGCUAAACCGUAAGGAUUAGUGGAGUUAUUACUAGUGAGAAUGCCGGCGUGAGUAACGAUAGAAGGUGAGAAUCCUUCUGGCCGUAUGACCAAGGUUUCCAGGGUGAAGGUCGUCUACCCUGGGUUAGUCGGGACCUAAGGCGAGGCCGAAAGGCGUAGUCGAUGGACAACAGGUUAAUAUUCCUGUACUAAUCAUAAUUACUGAUGGAGUGACGGAGUCAGCUAAGAUAAACCAGUUAUUGAUUCUGGUCUAAGCACAAAGAGGGUUUGGUAGGCAAAUCCGCCAAGCAUAACCUUGAAGUGUGAUGGGUAGAGCAAUCGAAUUAUCUGAACGCUUUGCUUCCUAGAAAAGCUUCUAAAGAUAUAAUUAUGGUACCCGUACCAAGAACGAACACACGUGGUUGGGGAGAAUAUCCUCAGGCCAGCGAGACAACUAUAGCUAAGGAACUCGGCAAAUUAGCCCCGUAAGUUCGCGAGAAGGGGUGCCUAGGGUGAAACCUAGGCCGCAGUGAAGAGACACCGGCAACUGUUUAUCAAAAACACAGCUCUCUGCUAAGGCGUAAGCCGAUGUAUAGGGGGCGACGCCUGCCCAGUGCUCCAAGGUUAAGAGGGGGGGUUAGCUAGUAGUAAUACUAGUGAAGCUCUGAAUUGAAGCCCGAGUGAACGGCGGCCGUAACUAUGACGGUCCAAAGGUAGCGAAACUCCUUGUCAGGUAAGUUCUGACCCGCAUGAAAGGCGUAAUGACUGGUGUACUGUCUCAGCUAUAGACUCGGUGAAAUCUUAGUACCGGUGAAGAUGCCGGUUACCCGCAACUAGACGGAAAGACCCCGUGGAGCUUUACUGCAACUUGAUAUUGGGUUUUUCUCUCGUUUGUACAGGAUAGGUGGGAGACUGUGAUGCUAGGACGCUAGUUCUAGUGGAGUCGUUGGUGGGAUACCACCCUAACGAGCGGGAAAUUCUAACUUAUUGGUUUACAACCAAAAGGACAGUGUUUGGUGGGUAGUUUGACUGGGGCGGUCGCCUCCUAAAAAGUAACGGAGGUGUUCAUAAGGUAUCCUCAAUAGGUAUAGAAAUCCUAUGUAGAGCGUAAAGGUAUAAGGAUGCUUAACUGUGAGACAGACAAGUCGAACAGAUACGAAAGUAGGACUUAAUGAUCCGGCGGUUACCUAGUGGUAGGGCCGUCGCUAAACGGAUAAAAGUUACCCCGGGGAUAACAGGCUAAUACUUCCCAAGAGACCACAUCGACGGAAGUGUUUGGCACCUCGAUGUCGACUCAUCGCAUCCUGGAGGUGAAGAAGCUUCCAAGGGUUGGGCUGUUCGCCCAUUAAAGCGGUACGUGAGUUGGGUUUAGAACGUCGUGAGACAGUUUGGUCCCUAUCUGUUGUGGGCGUAGGAAAUUUGCGAAGAGCUGCUCUUAGUACGAGAGGACCAGAGUGGACUGACCAAUGGUGCACCAGUUGUCACGUCAGUGGCACAGCUGGAUAGCUACGUCAGGACUAGAUAAGCACUGAAAGCAUAUAAGUGCGAAGCUAACUUCAAGAUAAGAUUUCCCAUCCCGAGAGGGAGUAAGAUACCUUCAAUACCAGGAGGUUGAUAGGUAGAGAAUGUAAGUGCAGUAAUGUAUUUAGUUAAUCUAUACUAAUUUAUCGAGGACUUAUUUUU